AGCAGCCGCGGUAAUUCCAGCUCCAAUAGCGUAUAUUAAAGUUGCUGCAGUUAAAAAGCUCGUAGUUGAAUUUCGGGAUCAAUUUACUGGUCGUGCCUACGGUACGUACUGGUAUUGUUGGUUCCUCCUUUCUGAGGAGCCGCGAUGUCAUUAACUUGGUGUCGCGGGGAAUCAGGACUGUUACUUUGAAAAAAUUAGAGUGUUUAAAGCAGGCUAACGCUUGAAUACAUUAGCAUGGAAUAAUGAAAUAGGACGUUUGAUCCUAUUUUGUUGGUUUCUAGGGUCGACGUAAUGAUUAAUAGGGAUAGUUGGGGGCAUUAGUAUUCAAUUGUCAGAGGUGAAAUUCUUGGAUUUAUUGAAGACUAACUACUGCGAAAGCAUUUGCCAAGGAUGUUUUCAUUAAUCAAGAACGAAAGUUAGGGGAUCGAAGACGAUCAGAUACCGUCGUAGUCUUAACCAUAAACUAUGCCGACUAGGGAUCGGAUGAUGUUAAUUUUUUAAUGACUCAUUCGGCGCCUUA
rnacentral:rRNA from 1 species